UGGGGAAUAUUGCGCAAUGGGCGAAAGCCUGACGCAGCGACGCCGCGUGAGGGAUGAAGGUUUUCGGAUCGUAAACCUCUGUCAGAAGGGAAGAAACCGCACCGUGCUAAUCAGCGGUGCAUUGACGGUACCUUCAAAGGAAGCACCGGCUAACUCCGUGCCAGCAGCCGCGGUAAUACGGAGGGUGCAAGCGUUAAUCGGAAUUACUGGGCGUAAAGCGCACGUAGGCUGCUUUGUAAGUCAGGGGUGAAAUCCCACGGCUCAACCGUGGAACUGCCUUUGAUACUGCUUAGCUUGAAUCCGGGAGAGGGUGGCGGAAUUCCAGGUGUAGGAGUGAAAUCCGUAGAUAUCUGGAGGAACAUCAGUGGCGAAGGCGGCCACCUGGACCGGUAUUGACGCUGAGGUGCGAAAGCGUGGGGAGCAAACAGG
rnacentral:rRNA from 1 species